rnacentral:rRNA from 1 species
GUCGAACGCAGUAGCAAUACUGAGUGGCAAACGGGUGAGUAUAAUGUGGGAAUCUGCCUUUUGGUUUGGAAUAACACGGGGAAACUUGUGCUAAUACCGAAUAAGCCUUUACAGGGAAAGUUUUAAUGCCAAAAGAUGAGCCCGCACUUGAUUAGCUAGUUGGUGAGGUAAUAGCUCACCAAGGCAAUGAUCAAUAGCUGUUCUUAGAGGAAGACCAGCCACAUUGGGACUGAGACACGGCCCAGACUCCUACGGGAGGCAGCAGUGGGGAAUCUUGCACAAUGGGGGAAACCCUGAUGCAGCGAUGCCGCGUGAGUGAAGAAGGCCCUUGGGUUGUAAAACUCUUUCGUCGGGGAAGAAAAUGACUGUACCCGAAUAAGAGGGUCCGGCUAACUUCGUGCCAGCAGCCGCGGUAAUACGAAGGGACCUAGCGUAGUUCGGAAUUACUGGGCUUAAAGAGCUCGUAGGUGGUUAAAAAAGUUGAUUGUGAAAUCCCAAGGCUCAACCUUGGAACUGCAAUCAAAACUUUUUAGCUAGAGUAUGAUAGAGGAAAGUGGAAUUUCUAGUGUAGAGGCGAAAUUCGUAGAUAUUAGAAAGAACACCAAAUGCGAAGGCAACUUUCUGGAUCAUUACUGACACUGAGGAGCGAAAGCAUGGGUA